UACGAAGGUGGCAAGCGUUGUUCGGAUUUACUGGGCGUACAGGGAGCGUAGGCGGUUGGAUAAGCCCUCCGUGAAAUCUCCAGGCUUAACCUGGAAAGUGCAGAGGGGACUGUUCAGCUAGAGGAUGGGAGAGGAGCGCGGAAUUCCCGGUGUAGCGGUGAAAUGCGUAGGGAUCGGGAGGAAGGCCGGUGGCGAAGGCGGCGCUCUGGAACAUUUCUGACGCUGAGGCUCGAAAGCGUGGGGAGCAAACAGG
rnacentral:rRNA from 1 species